GGGCCUAUGGUCUAGUGGUAUGACGCGGCAUUCGCAUUGCCGAAGCGCCAGUCCGAUUCUGGCUAGGUCCA
rnacentral:tRNA from 1 species